rnacentral:rRNA from 1 species
GACGUAGGGCGCGAGCGUUGUCCGGAUUUAUUGGGCGUAAAGAGCUCGUAGGCGGCUUGUCGCGUCGUCUGUGAAAUCCCGUGGCUCAACUGCGGGCUGGCAGUCGAUACGGGCAGGCUGGAGUUCGGUAGGGGAGACUGGAAUUCCUGGUGUAGCGGUGAAAUGCGCAGAUAUCAGGAGGAAUACCGGUGGCGAAGGCGGCAUCCUGGACCGACAUUGACGCUGAACGGCGAAAGCUAGGGGAGCAAACGGG